rnacentral:lncRNA from 1 species
AUUUUACUAUGUUAAGAAUGUUAAGAAGGAAUACAAAUUUUCCUGUACUAGGCAGAUAAAUUCAUCCUUUUGCCAAGGACAUUCGUAAUUAUCAGAGCCUUUGCUGUUUUCCCUGACUGAGGUGAAUCAGCUGUUUAACUAACUAAACAGCAAAAAGAACGUCUGAUACUCCUGGAACUGUGUAUUUGGAAGGUGCCCUCAGUGCUGUUGCAGAUGCUCUAUAGACUAAACAUUGUGUAAGUAUGAAGUACACUGACUG